CGGCCACACAGCCGUCAACGUCGGGAAAUCGAAGGUCGUCGUGUUUGGAGGCUUCGCUGACAGGAAAUUCUCGAACGAUAUCGCGGUGUAUGACAUAGAUGGCUAAUGAGAAUUUUUCUGGAAGAAUACCUACGGAGACUUUGACAAUCAAAUUUACCGGAAAGAAUUAUGCAACAUGGGAAUUUCAGUUCUGGAUGUUUCUGAAAGGGAAGGAGCUUUGGGGUCACAUUGAUGGGUCUUUAAUGGCUCCUGAAAACGCUAAGGACCUUGGUCAAUGGGAGACAAAGGAUGCCCGAAUUAUCUCUUGGCUUCUCGGAUCCAUCGAAGCUCAUAUGGUGAACAAUUUACGUCCUUUUAAUACGGCUAAGGAGAUGUGGGAUUACCUGAAACGAAUAUAUCAUCAAGAUAAUACUGCAAGGCGAUUCCAACUAGAGCUUGAGAUUGGUAAUCUCAGUCAAGAAAAUAAGUUAUGGUAUACUCCGGAGUGCACUGGUGUCGGUUCAGAUGGACAAGUAGGGCCUAGUGCUAGAGCAUUUCAUGUUGCUAUUGCUAUCGACUGUAACAUGUUUAUCUUUGGGGGGCGUUCUGGUAGCAAAAGAGUAGGUGACUUUUGGAUGCUAGAUACAGUGUAUCUUCCAGAUAUAUGGCAAUGGUCGGAACUAACCAGCUUUGGUGAUUUGCCAUCUCCAAGAGAGUUUGCUGCUGUUUCAGCAAUAGGAAACCGGAAAAUUGUUAUGUAUGGCGGAUGGGAUGGUAAAAAAUGGCUUUCAGAUGUGUACAUCAUGGAUACAAUGUCACUUGAGUGGAUGGAAUUAUCUAUUACUGGCUCAGCGCCACCACCAAGGUGUGGACACUCUGCAACAAUGGUUGAGAAGCGAUUGCUAAUUUUUGGUGGAAGAGGAGGCAGUGGGCCUAUUAUGGGUGAUUUAUGGGCCUUAAAGGGUAUUAUUGAUGAAGAGAAUGAGACACCAGGCUGGACCCAGUUGAAGCUUCCUGGACAAACUCCCUCUCCAAGAUGUGGUCAUACAAUAACAUCUGGAGGGCAUUAUCUGUUGCUGUUUGGUGGACAUGGUACUGGAGGCUGGUUGAGUCGAUAUGAUGUCUAUCACAAUGACUGCAUCAUUCUUGACAGAGUGUCUGUUCAAUGGAAACGGUUAGCUACUAGCAAUGAUCCUCCUGCACCUCGGGCAUAUCAUUCCAUGACUUCUAUUGGUUCUCGAUAUCUUUUAUUUGGUGGGUUUGAUGGGAAAACCACGUUUGGCGACAUAUGGUGGCUUGUUCCAGAAGAUGAUCCUAUAGCAAAAAGGUUGCAGUCUGCUCCAAACCCUCCACCUGAAAUCAAGCCCGUUGAAAUGAUGGAUGGGUUAGCAGAGUCCUUGCCAAAGGAAGUCCAGAAUGAGCCAUCACCCGUAGUUGAAUUGCAAAAGAAGUUAGGGAUUAUGCUUUCUUCUUCUACUUCUCAGACAAAUAUUGUGGAAGAAGUGAACGACGAAGAACUAAUUGAAUUAUCAUCAAAGUUAGCUGGAGAAGCAUUGAGUACUCCAGGUCAUUACAUGUCCAUUCAGAUACUACGCGAAUAUUGGAAAAAUGCAAGUGCAAGUUCGAUCCAGUUGCAAGAGCUUGGACCACUUUUGCGAGAUUAUCAGCGUCUCAUAGUUAAUCAGCUGGAAUAUCUUAUAUCUGAUAUACCGUCAAUCACAACGAACCUUACUAGACAACACCGUUUUUUCCAUUUGAAAAGUGCUUCCCAGUUUGUUUUCUCAAGCAUCCCAGUUGAACGGAUGGUAGCUUCGCUUGGGAUCAAUAAUAUUGCAGUUGCGUAUGGAUGACAUACCUAAGCUUCUGGACGAGUACAGACAAUUGGUCUCUUAAUUUUGGAAGGUGGCUUGUAUUUGUCAUAAAAUCAAGGCUUCUGUGGGCACAGUGUCCUUCAUGGAGUUGUUCUUCAAAGUAGAAAAACGGUGUCUCUGGAGCUACUCAAUCAGAAUUUGCAAGCUAGCAGUCAGCAAUAGUUCCCUGGGCGAUCCGUGAUAAAAUUUACUCUCAAUAACUCAAUGCCUUUAAGCAGCAGUUAAUGAGAUGGGAGGCAUUCUUCAUGUUCAACUUUCACACUUUUAAUUACUCCCAUUUGUGGACUUGGUCAUGGUGAUUUCUGUUUUAAAUUGAAUUCGAUAAAUAUUAGGACAAAAAGUGUCAUGUAACUGAUUAAAACAUUUUGUUCAUUUCAACGCGCUACUUCUUGUGGUGGACUGCACUA